rnacentral:rRNA from 1 species
GACUAACGCUGGCGGCAGGCCUAAUACAUGCAAGUCGAACGCUCCGCAAGGGGAGUGGCGCACGGGAGAGUAACGCGUGGGAACCUACCUAUUGGUUCGGGACAACACCGGGAAACUGGUGCUAAUACCGGAUAAGCCCGAGAGGGGAAAGGAUUUAUCGCCGAUAGAUGGGCCCGCCGUUAGAUUAGCUAGUUGGUGAGGUAACGGCUCACCAAGGCGACGAUCUAUAGCUGGUCUGAGAGGAUGAUCAGCCUCACU